rnacentral:rRNA from 1 species
UACGUACGAGGCGAGCGUUAUCCGGAAUUACUGGGCGUAAAGCGCGCGCAGGCGGUCCGGUAAGUCUCCGGUGAAAUCGCCCGGCUCAACUGGGCGGGUGCCGGGGAGACUGACGGACUUGAGGAGCCUAGAGGCCGGUGGAACUCCCGGUGUAGUGGUGAAAUGCGUAGAGAUCGGGAAGAACACCAGUGGCGAAGGCGGCCGGCUGGGGGUGUCCUGACGCUGAGGCGCGAGAGCGUGGGGAGCAAACCGG